rnacentral:rRNA from 1 species
AUUGAACGCUGGCGGCAGGCCUAACACAUGCAAGUCGAGCGGGCACCUUCGGGUGUCAGCGGCAGACGGGUGAGUAACACGUGGGAACGUGCCCUUUGGUUCGGGACAACUCCGGGAAACUGGAGCUAAUACCGGAUAAGCCCUUCGGGGGAAAGAUUUAUCGCCAAAGGAUCGGCCCGCGUCUGAUUAGCUAGUUGGUGAGGUAACGGCUCACCAAGGCGACGAUCAGUAGCUGGUCUGAGAGGAUGAUCAGCCACACUGGGACUGAGACACGGCCCAGACUCCUACGGGAGGCAGCAGUGGGGAAUAUUGGACAAUGGGCGCAAGCCUGAUCCAGCCAUGCCGCGUGAGUGAUGAAGGCCCUAGGGUUGUAAAGCUCUUUUGGCGGGGAAGAUAAUGACGGUACCCGCAGAAUAAGCCCCGGCUAACUUCGUGCCAGCCGCCGCCGUAAUAC